CCUACGGGAGGCAGCAGUGAGGAAUAUUGGACAAUGGAGGCAACUCUGAAUCCAGCCAUGCCGCGUGCAGGAAGACUGCCCUAUGGGUUGUAAACUGCUUUUAUAUAGGAAGAAACCUACUUACGUGUAAGUAGCUGACGGUACUAUAAGAAUAAGGAUCGGCUAACUCCGUGCCAGCAGCCGCGGUAAU
rnacentral:rRNA from 1 species